GACGAACGCUGGCGGCGUGCUUAACACAUGCAAGUCGAACGGAGAAAGCGUGCUUUUGUCGGGUGCUUGAGUGGCGAACGGGUGAGUAACACGUGAGUAACCUGCCCCUUACUUCGGGAUAUCUUCAGGAAACUGUUGCUAAUACCGGAUAUGCGCUCCUGCUGCAUGUGUAUGGUUGGAAAGUUUCGUCGGUUAGGGAUGGGCUCGCGGCUUAUCAGCUUGUUGGUGGGGUAGUGGCUUACCAAGGCUUUGACGGGUAGCCGGCCUGAGAGGGUGACCGGCCACAUUGGGACUGAGAUACGGCCCAGACUCCUACGGGAGGCAGCAGUGGGGAAUAUUGCACAAUGGGCGGAAGCCUGAUGCAGCAACGCCGCGUGAGGGAUGACGGCCUUCGGGUUGUAAACCGCUUUCAGCAGGGAAGAAGCGUGAGUGACGGUAAUGGCAGAAGAAGCACCGGCUAACUACGUG
rnacentral:rRNA from 1 species